UAGUCCUACGGGGGGCAGCAGUGGGGAAUAUUGCACAAUGGGGGAAACCCUGAUGCAGCAACGCCGCGUGGGUGAAGGAGCGUUUCGGCGCGUAAAGCCCUGUCAGCGGGGAAGAUAAAAGACUGUACCUAAGGAGGAAGCCCCGGCUAACUAUGUGCCAGCAGCCGCGGUAAUACAUAGGGGGCAAGCGUUAUCCGGAAUUAUUGGGUGUAAAGGGUGCGUAGACGGAGAAACAAGUUGGUUGUGAAAUCCCUCGGCUCAACUGAGGAACUGCAACCAAAACUAUUUCCCUUGAGUGUCGGAGG
rnacentral:rRNA from 1 species